UACAGAAUCCCAUUGAUGAUGGGUCACCUGCGACACACAGGGUGUAUUUGACCUCUGAACUUCACAAUGUGUUCAAUUCCUGGGCUUCCAACAGCCGGAUCAGAAGUACCAGUUGUCAUCACACGGGUAAACCUAAACCCAAAAUGUGGUCUUGUUGAAUUAUGGGUUAACAUGGAUGAAGAAAGGAAGCAUGUUUAUGAGCAGAUGAGAGAGGAAAUUCAGAUUCCUAAGAGAAAGUUUUAUGGAUCAGAAGGAGAACCAGGGGAUCUCUGUCUGGUUUGCGUCAGUGACGUCUGGCACAGAGCUCGGAUUGUAUCGAAUCAAGGUGAAACUUGCAGUGUUUUUCUAAUUGACCAGGGAAAGCCUCACAUCACCACAAGUGAAGCUUUAGCUUGGGGUCAGAGUGACUGUUUUCUCCUUCCUCCUGAAACUGAAUCGUGCAUACUUGCAAAUGUCCUCUCCCUUGAGAAUACCUGGCCUGAAAUAGCCAUAAAGUUUUUGGUGUCUCUGCCUGGCAAGAAGUUCAAGGGACUGGUUCAACACGUGCUGAUGCCAAACAGGACCAUCCUCCUCGACAUACCAACUAUUUCCAAGCACAUCUGUAAGACUGGAGUUGCAAAGAAGGUGCCUGUAGAUGAGUUUAAAAGCCUUGUGCAGAAAUGUCUUGAGGGUGAAGGCCCAACACAGGAACAAAAUGUUAGUUGCCAACUUGAGAAGCAUGACCAAUACUUUUACCCAGAACUGUUAACUGAUACUUUUGAAAUUGUCAACGUGACAGAGGUAACUAAUCCAUGUAACAUUUUUUGCAAACUCCACAUUUUUUCCAAAGCAGUGAAGAUUUUAUCAGAACAGAUCCAGCAGCACUACGAAGAGUGCUCAGAUUCAGGAGAGACACAACCUUUGACCUGCGGAGAUCCGUGUGCUGCUAAAGGGAUAAACGGCAGAUGGCAUCGCUCAUUGCUAAAAGAAACCAUGACUAGCGAUGGGGCUAUAGAAGCCUUGCAUGUGGAUGAAGGAAAAAUUGAAUUUGUCCGAGUUGGAGACAUCAGACCUCUGCAUGGAAAAUUUCUGAGAAUGCCAGUUGUGACUUAUCCCUGUUCUCUCGAAGGCGUAAAAGAUAACUGCACAGGUUGGACUAUAGGCCAGAAUGAUGACUUGAAAUCACUGCUCCUGAACCAGAAGUUUGUGGCAAAGUUUAACCACCACAAUAUACCUCAAGAUGUGUAUCAUGUCAGUCUAUAUGCAGAUGACGAAGCAUGCAUAAACAAUUGGUUUACAGAGAAGGCAGGACCUUUUUCAUCCUCCAAGACAGAACGAGAUACAAAUGUCCUAAAUGGAUCCAUUCCCUCAUCAUUCAUCAGUUCACUUGGAAACCAACGUUGCCUAGAUUUACAGAACAAAGUCACUGUAAAUGUUGAUGGUUUACAAGAAGAAACUUUGCCAUGCACAAAGAACCAAGCAGUCAAUGGUAGGACCAAUGGUUUACCCACUUCUGGAGCGGAUGAUACGCCUAUCAAAGACACUUCAGAGCAUCUGGACCCUUUGCUACAGAUCAAUGGGCAUCUUUCAUCAGGUUUCCCCUCUGAGGUGCAAAAUGCUCGUCAUGACGAUAUGUUUACCGUAGGAAGUAGUGUCGAUGUAAAAGUGUCUUUCAUUGAAAGUCCACAGAGGUUCUGGUGUCAACCAAUGCAAAACUGUGACUCUCUUAGACUCCUGAUGCAGGACCUGCAAAACCAAUAUGCAUCCAUCCAUCCUCCGCCACUUGUUGAGUCAAUCUGUGUCGCCCGUAAUCCAGAAAAUCACAUGUGGUAUAGAGCAAGGAUCAUGACAAGUCACUACUCUCCUGUGGUAGAUGUGAGAUUUAUAGACUAUGGUGAAACUCAAACGGUCCCUCUGCAGGGUGUGCGCCCCAUUGAUCCAGCUUUCUUACGGCUGAAUGCGCAGGCUUUCCAGUGUUGCUUGUUCAAUUGCAAGAAUUCCACUAAUCCCACUUCCAUCACUCGGACUGAUAACGCAGAGUUUCAGCAGUUUGUGGAUUCAGGCGCUUCGUCAAACAUUGGGUUGAAAUGCACUGUGAAGGCUGCAACAUCUGAUGACGAAGGUCUGCUGCUUAAUGUGGUCGAUAUUGAAACACCAUCUGAUAGUGCAUGCAAGCUUCUGACUCAGGAAUGUGAACAGGCUCAAGCGCUCUUUCAAAUUCCUCCACAUGACCCAUUAGAUGUAUACAAUUACUCCACGUACAAUAUUGAAGUGGAUGGAAAAGAAGAUGUGUGGAUAACCUAUUCAGAGAAUGUCAAUCAAUUCUACUGCCAACUGGACAGGAAUUUACACUUGUUUUACAAAGUGAUGGAAAAUGUUAAACAACUAAUCAGACAGCCACAGUGCACGGAUUACCCCCUUGGACUUGAUAGCAUUUGCUUUGCUAAGUACACUGAUGAUCAGUGGUACAGAGGUCAAGUGGUAGAAAUGUCUCCAAAAAUGAAAGUGUACUUUGUGGACUAUGGUCAUACCCUUGCAGUGAAUGAAUCUGAUAUUUGUUUCUUUCCCACUGAAGCAAGUGUGGCCAGGUCUGUUCCUGUGCAGGCUGUUCCACUUGGAUUGUUUGAAGUCCCUACAGAAGUGCCAAAGGAAGUCAACGAGUGGUUUGCAGACAGUGCUAUUGGUCAAAUGUUCACCAUUUCAGUGGUAGCAAAAGGGGAAAAAGGGAAGCUGAUUGUUGAACUGUUUGCUGGAGCUUUGAAUUUAAAUGUGAAGGUCAGAGAGAUGAUAUCAAAGAUAACACAACAAGAGACACCUGGUCUCGUUCAGCAGACAGACCAGCAGCUCUCAAACAGUUCAGAACAUGACAAUGUGCCAAAUGAGGACUGUUUAACGCAAGAGCUCAAGAAUGUAUCCAUAUUAACAAUGAUAAAAGAUCUCAAUAAAGUGCACAGCAACAACGGAACAUGUGCAGGGGAUGAUCUGAGUUCAUCGUCCAUAACUAAUGCCUCUGAACAAGAGUUUGCCCAUGACCAGUCUCUGGAUGAAGGAAGAAAACUAUCUUCGGAUCUUAUGGACAAAGAAAUGGAAGGUGGACACGUUGUAAUUACACAACUUUCCCUAGCUUCCUGUCCUGAGGGAAAUGAGAACAUCUGCAUGUACAAGUGGCCAAACAUUGCUCAAAACAGGACUUAUGAGGUAUACGCAUCCUGCAUUGCUGGACCACGUUACUUCUGGUGUCAGUAUGCCAACACUGAAGACCUAAACAUAGUGACGAGGCUUGCUCAGGAAGCAGGACAGACACAUCAGGACAUGAUGUUCCCUGAGACUCUUGGCCCUGGCAGUCCAUGUAUUGCUCUGUUUUCCAGUGAAAAACAGUGGUAUCGAGCUCAAGUUAUUCGCAGAGUUGACGAUGCAUUCUGUGUCCUGUUUAUCGACUAUGGAAACGAGUCUGACGUUGACAUCAACAGUGUGAGAUCACUGCCUCAGAGUCUGCUGGAGAAGGUUCCUCAGGCCUUUUUGUGCUCUUUGAAAGGAUUCGACGAGUCCAAGGGCUCCUGGAAUGACCAAGUUUAUGAUGACUUCUACAAUCUUCUGGUUGAUAAACCUCUCAAGCUGACAGUGUUCAACAUGGACGACGAUUCGGAGGCUGCAGUUCCUCAGUAUGAAGUGGAAAUUGAGUGUGAAGGAGUGAUCGUUGAUGCGGCAAUGCAUAAAUACUGGAAACCAGUUUCAAAAGAACCUAUGCCGAUAGAACACCAUGAAGGGAAAACUUUCCUCCAAGAUACUCAAACUGAGUCCACCAUGCUUCAUCCUAAUGUUCCCAAAGGAAAUGUGAAUUCUUGUAUGUACAAGAAGUCAAACUUGUCCAAAAACAAAAAAGAGGAGGUAUACGCUUCUUGCAUUGUGCAUCCCCAUUACUUCUGGUGUCAGUAUGCCAAUCCAGAGGAGCUCAGCAAAGUGACAAAGCUUGCUCAGGAAGCAGGAAAGACACAACAGGACAUGAUGUUCCCUGAGACUCUUGGUCCUGGCAGUCCAUGCCUUGCUCUGUUCUCCAAUGAUAAACAGUGGUAUCGAGCUCAAGUAAUUCGCAGAGUUGACGAUGCAUUCUGUGUCCUGUUUAUCGACUAUGGAAACGAGUCUGACGUUGACAUCAACAGUGUGAGAUCACUGCCUCAGAGUCUGCUGGAGAAGGUUCCUCAGGCCUUUUUGUGUUCUUUGAAAGGAUUCGACGAGUCCAAGGGCUCCUGGAAUGACCAAGUUUACGAUGACUUCUACAAUCUUCUGGUUGAUAAACCUCUCAAGCUGACAGUGUUCAACAUGGACGACGAUUCAGAGGCUGCAGUUCCUCAGUAUGCAGUGGAAAUUGAGUGUGAGGGAGAAAUUGUUAAUGCAGCAAUGCAUAAAUACUGGAAACCAGUUGCCAAAGGAGGUGUUUCGAUAGAACAUCCUGAAGGGGAAACUUUCCUCCAAGAUAUUCAGACUGAGUCCAACAUGCUUCAUCCUAAUGUUCCCAAAGGAAAUGUGAAUAUAUGUAUGUACAAAAAGCCAAACUUGUCCAAAAACAAAAAAGAGGAGGUAUAUGCUUCUUGUAUUGUGCAUCCCCAUUACUUCUGGUGUCGGUACGCCAAUCCAGAGGAGCUCAGCCAAGUGUCAAAGCUUGCUCAGGAAGCAGGAAAGACACAACAGGACAUGAUGUUCCCUGAGACUCUUGGUCCUGGCAGUCCAUGCCUUGCUCUGUUCUCCAGUGACAAACAGUGGUAUCGAGCACAAGUUAUUCACAGAGUUGACGAUGCAUUCUGUGUCCUGUUUAUCGACUAUGGAAACGAGUCUGACGUUGACCUCAACAGUGUGAGAUCACUGCCUCAGAGUCUGCUGGAGAAGGUUCCUCAGGCCUUUUUGUGUUCUUUGAAAGGAUUCGAUGAGUCCAAUGGCUCCUGGAAUGACAAAGUUUACGAUGACUUCUACAAUCUUCUGGUUGAUAAACCACUCAAGCUGACAGUGUUCAACUUGGACGACCAUUCAGAGGCUGCAGUUCCUCAGUAUGAAGUGGAACUUGAGUGCGAGGGAGCGCUUGUAAAUACACUGAUGGAGAAAUACUGGAAACGACUGAACACAGACCAUUCCUUGGAAGAACAUUUAGGAUCAGUGACCCAGGAUGAUGAGUGUUUGAAUUUAAAGUCGCUGAAUGAAUUGUAGGACUUGUAUUUCUCGUCCAAAUCAUCCUCUGCAAAGAAAAUUCAAGUCAUGAAGCUCUGGAACAAGAUGAAUUUCCAUGGAGACGCCCAGUUGUGACAGAAC